GGAAGUGAAAGUCGUAACAAGGUUUCCGUAGGUGAACCUGCGGAAGGAUCAUUAUUGUAUAACCGAGGUGCGAGGGCUGUCGCUGACCCGAAAGGUCGUGCACGCCCGAGUGCCCUCACACACAUCCAUCUCACCCCUAUGUGCACCACCGCGUGGGUCCCCCUUUGGCUUGUUCGGAGGGGGGCUUACGUUUUCACACAAACUUUGUAUGCAGUGUAGAAUGUAUUUUUUGUUUUUGCGAUCACGCAAUCAAUACAACUUUCAACAACGGAUCUCUUGGCUCUC
rnacentral:misc_RNA from 1 species